UGGAGAGUUUGAUCCUGGCUCAGGACGAACGCUGGCGGCGUGCUUAACACAUGCAAGUCGAACGGAAAGGCCCUUUCGGGGGUGCUCGAGUGGCGAACGGGUGAGUAACACGUGGGUGAUCUGCCCUGCACUUUGGGAUAAGCCUGGGAAACUGGGUCUAAUACNGGAUAGGACCAUGGGAUGCAUGUUUUGUGGUGGAAAGCUUUUGCGGUGUGGGAUGGGCCCGCGGCCUAUCAGCUUGUUGGUGGGGUGAUGGCCUACCAAGGCGACGACGGGUAGCCGGCCUGAGAGGGUGUCCGGCCACACUGGGACUGAGAUACGGCCCAGACUCCUACGGGAGGCAGCAGUGGGGAAUAUUGCACAAUGGGCGCAAGCCUGAUGCAGCGACGCCGCGUGGGGGAUGACGGCCUUCGGGUUGUAAACCUCUUUCAGUAUCGGCGAAGCUNNCGGNUUUUGUUGCAGGUGACGGUAGGUACAGAAGAAGCACCGGCCAACUACUGUGCCAGCAGCCGCGGUA
rnacentral:rRNA from 1 species